AGCUCCAAAAUUGAUUCCUGGGAAAGUUGGCUGACUAAGCAGUUGUGGUUUCAGGACCAAGGUCAUUGGAGUAAGAAAAGCAAGAAGAGUGACAGAACUAGUCUUGGACACAUGCAGCAUCCACAAUAAGCACAUGGAAGAGAGGUACUUUAACAAUUGACAUCUACAUUGAAAAGGAUAUUUUUAAACAUAG